rnacentral:rRNA from 1 species
GAUGAACGCUAGCGGGAGGCUUAACACAUGCAAGUCGAGGGGUAACAUGAGGUAGCAAUACUUUGAUGACGACCGGCGCACGGGUGAGUAACACGUAUGCAACCUACCCUGUACAGGGGGAUAGCCCGGAGAAAUUCGGAUUAAUACCCCAUAAAGAUAUUUAGAGGCAUCUUUAAAUAUUUAAAGUUUCGACGGUACGGGAUGGGCAUGCGCAACAUUAGCUAGUUGGUAGGGUAACGGCCUACCAAGGCUACGAUGUUUAGGGGACCUGAGAGGGUGAUCCCCCACACUGGUACUGAGACCCGGACCAGACUCCUACGGGAGGCAGCAGUGAGGAAUAUUGGUCGAUGGGCGUAAGCCUGAACCAGCCAUCCCGCGUGAAGGAAGAAGGCGCUAUGCGUUGUAAACUUCUUUUCCGGGGGAAGAAAACCCGCUACGAGUAGCGGCUUGCCGGUACCCUGGGAAUAAGCAUCGGCUAACUCCGUGCCAGCCGCCGCAGUAAGAC